rnacentral:rRNA from 1 species
ACGGGGGGGGCAAGCGUUGUUCGGAAUUGCUGGGCGUAAAGCGCGCGUAGGCGGCCUGCUAAGUCGAACGUGAAAUCCCCGAGCUCAACUGGGGAACUGCGUCCGAUACUGGAUGGCUUGGAUUUGGGAGAGGGAUGCGGAAUUCCAGGUGUAGCGGUGAAAUGCGUAGAUAUCUGGAGGAACACCGGUGGCGAAGGCGGCAUCCUGGACCAAUAUUGACGCUGAGGAGCGAAAGCUAGGGGAGCAAACAGGA